rnacentral:rRNA from 1 species
GUGGGGAAUAUUGGACAAUGGGGGAAACCCUGAUCUAGCCAUGCCGCGUGAGCGAUGAAGGCCUUAGGGUUGUAAAGCUCUUUCAGCUGGGAAGAUAAUAACUGUACCAGCAGAAGAAGCCCCGGCUAACUCCGUGCCAGCAGCCGCGGUAAUACGGAGGGGGCUAGCGUUGUUCGGAAUUACUGGGCGUAAAGCGCACGUAGGCGGACCGGAAAGUCAGAGGUGAAAUCCCAGGGCUCAACCUUGGAACUGCCUUUGAAACUCCUGGUCUUGAGGUCGAGAGAGGUGAGUGGAAUUCCGAGUGUAGAGGUGAAAUUCGUAGAUAUUCGGAGGAACACCAGUGGCGAAGGCGGCUCACUGGCUCGAUACUGACGCUGAGGUGCGAAAGCGUGGGGAGCAAACAGGAUUAGAUACCCCGGUAGUCC